AAUGAACGUUGGCGGCGUGGAUUAGGCAUGCAAGUCGAGCGAGAAUUUUUGAAUUGAAACUUCGGUCGAGAUUCGAAAAGGACAGCGGCGAAAGGGAGAGUAACGAGUAGAUUACGUACCCAGGGGUUCGGAAUAGCGGGGGGAAACCGCCGGUAAUGCCGAAUAAUGUCUCCGGACCAAAGAUUUAUUGCCCUUGGAGCGGUCUGCUUACUAUUAGCUUGUUGGUGUGGUAAUGGCGCACCAAGGCGAAGAUGGUUAGCGGGUGUGAGAGCAUGGCCCGUCUCACUGGGACUGAGACACUGCCCAGACACCUACGGGUGGCAG
rnacentral:rRNA from 1 species